rnacentral:rRNA from 1 species
AUGGUUGUGUUGACCGCCGGACUUGGCCGGGUGAGCACGAAGCCCAAUCCCUUCCAUCCCCCUUUGAUCCCCUUCUAUCCACGCGUCUCCCAAGCCCCGAGGGCACACGCAGGGAACACGCCCCGCCCGCCUCUCCAUCUCGGCCUCCGGCUCCCGCUCCGCCGCCCCGUCGCCACCACCGCCCACGCCGCGAGCUCCCUCUCCUCCGCCCGCGGCGACCCGCGUGAGGCGGCGGUGGCGGAGCUUCUGCGGGACCACGGCGCAUCGCCGGAGGACGCGGCCGCCAUCGCCGCGCGCGCGUCGGGGUACGCAGCCAUGCUGGCUGACGGCGUCAGGGGCUGGAAGAGCUCGGGCUCUGGGCGUCCUGGAGAGCCAGGGCGGGCGCGCUCGGGUUCGGCAGGAAGGUGUACUUCAUGGGGCGGAGCCGGCGCGACGGCCCCGUCGUCCUGCUCGUCGAGAGCCUCGGCGUGCACCUCUCCUCCGCCAAGCUCAUCGCGCCCUACUUGCCGCCGAGGGGCUCCCCGUGCUCAUCCUCAGGAGGACAAACAUCUUCAGGCAUUAAUUGAUUUCCUCGAACACAUUGGAGUUCCCAAGCCAAGGAUUCCAUCAACUCUGCUGGCAUUUCCUCCUAUUAUCCUUUCUGAUGUCAAAAAGGAUAUCAAGCCAAGGAUUCAUGCAUGGGAGAAGGUUCUCAUGCACCAAAAGAAGCAACAAUAG